GCAGAAGUACCCAAGUGGCUGAAGGGUCCGGUCUUGAAAACCGGUAGGUCGUGCAAGCGGCGCCAGAGUUCGAAUCUCUGCUUCUGCGCCA
rnacentral:tRNA from 1 species